GUGUGCCCCGGGCAGCUCGGCGCUGCUCUCUGGGGAGUGAGGACGGGCCGUCAGCGGGGAGGGAAAGUCAGAGAGAGGAGGCAGGAAUGGGGUCCGGAUCUUGCCUCCAGGGAGGGAAACGGAGGGGCUGGGGGACCCUGCUUGUCCCUGGGGAGCCCCCUGACCUCCCACAAGGGGUCUGACCUCUGACAUGGGUGUCCUUUUAGGAUAAGAAGGAAGAAAGACCUACCAUUGUCCUGGGACUGACCCUCAAAGGAAUGCAGGUCUAUGAGGAGGUGAACCACGCUCCGCAGCUGCUCCAUGACCUGCCCUGGCCCCGCAUCGGGAAGCUGGCCGUCCUGGGAAAGAAGUUCAAGAUCCGGCCGGACGGGCGGCCCGCGGCCCGCAAGCUGGAGUUCUACACGGGCUGCGCUGUCCGCUCCCGCCACCUGCUGUGCCUGCUCCGCGCCAGCCA